AUGCCGCGCGUCCCACGGCGGCCGUCCGACGAGGCGCGCCGCGGCGCGUACAAGCCACCGGGCGUGGACGCCGCCCGCUCGCGCCGGCGACGCGAGGACCGCCUCCUCGCCCUCCGUCGCCGCAACCGCGACGCCGGCCUCUUCAAGCGCCGCCGCGAGGAGCCCAGCCUUACCCCCGCCCCCGUCGUGUCUCCUUCUGAUGCGGCCGCAGACGCCACCGCGCCACCUCCUUCCUCCGAGCCGUCUUCGCCCCCGUCCUCUCCGCCCCCCGCAGACGCUCUGCGGGCCGCCGCCGACGCUGAGCUUGAAGGCCUAUCAGAAAUGGUGGAUAAAGUCUGGUCAGAUGACGCAGCUACUCAGCUGGAAGCCACAGUCCAGUUCAGGAAACUUCUCUCGGACGGGAAGAACUCAACCAUGAUAAAAAUCAUUAGAGCGGAUGUCCUGCCAAGGUUUGCUGAGUUCCUUUCAAGACAAAGACCUCCUCAGCUCCAAAUGGAAGCAGCAUGGGUGCUUACCAACAUAGCUGCUUCUGAUUAUACACUGCUAGUUGCUGAAUGCGGUGCUGUUCCAAGGCUGAUAGAGCUCUUAGAAUCCCCGGAUGCUAAUAUCAGACACCAGGCUACAUGGGCUCUUGGAAAUAUAGCCGCAGACAUGCCUAGCUGCAGAGAGAUUGUUCUUGAUCAUGGCGCUGUUACACCAUUACUAGCUCAAUUUAAAGAAGACAUGAAAGUUUCAGUUCUGAGGACUGCUACAUGGGCACUGUCAAACCUUUGUUUUGGGAAAUUACCGGCUGAAGUACAAGUGAAACCAAUACUGGAAAUAGUCAGCCUUCUUAUCCAUUCCGCUGAUGAGAAGAUCUUGGCAGAUGCAUGCUGGGCUCUUUAUUAUAUAUGUGAUGGUGUGGAAGGUGGCAUCCAAGAUGCAUUAGAUGCAGGUGUAUGCCCUCAACUUGUAAAACUUCUGAUGCAUGCGUCAGCUAAUAUUCUUCUCCCUGUCAUUAUGUCACUCGCAAGAAUUUCUGCCGGAGAUGAUACUCAAGUGCAGGUCAUAGUAGAACAGGGCAUUCUUCCUUGCUUAGCCCAGUUAUUAGCGCGAAAUUAUCCAAAGAUCAUCAAGAAACAAGCUUGUCUAAUUGUUUCUAAUAUUACCGCUGGCAGCAAGGAUCAGAUUCAGGCAGUCAUUGAUGCUGAUGUUAUGAACCAUGUCAUUGUUCUACUAAAGACCUCAGAAACUGAUUUAAAGAAGGAAGCUGCUUGGGCUAUAUCAAAUGCUGCCUCUGGUGGUUCAAGCGAUCAAAUCCAAUAUUUGGUGAGCCGGGGAUGUUUGGAGCCACUCUGCAAUGUCCUCAAGUACCAAGACGUUGAUCUUGUGUAUACAUGUCUGGAAGGUCUCCAAAAUAUACUCGAGGAGGGUGACAUCGGGAAGCAGCGCAAUGAAUCCGCGAUGAACCCGUAUGCGCAGUUUAUUCUGGAGAAUGGGGGCUUGGACAAUUUGGAGGAUCUGCAGGAUUUCGACAAUGACGCGGUUUACAAGUUAGCCAUGAAGCUCCUCGAGAGGUAUUGGGACGAGGAAGUAAGCGAUGACGCAAACUUGACGGCCUCCAAAGACCACCCGGCAGAGAACGUGGAGACGGUGCAGCCGGAAGAUACCGCACAGCCGCCGGUAGCAGCGUCCAGUGUGGACGGAACCGAGUGA
rnacentral:rRNA from 1 species